UACAACUUUUAUCCCAAUCUCACUUUGAGCUGCUAUUUGCAUGACUUCUGUAGUGAUAAUGUAUGUGUACAUUCAGAAAGCUCAGAGAUAAUACCAUCUCUCAUCUCUUUUACCUUCUGUGGAAAAGGGAGCAAGACAAACAUGUGGCUUCUGGGCUACCUGAGCCCCCAGGUCACAUCUGGUGCUGCAAACCACUCUUCUGAAGGCGAAAGUGCAUGAUAAGGGGGAAAAGUGUAUUCUGUGAACAUCACUACCAUCUGUAAUCAGAAGCAGAAGAGGUUUAAUAUAAUCCCACAGGCUGGAAAUUCCUCUUGACCUGCCAAGGGUUUUUUU